UCAAAUCUCAGCUCAGAUUUAAUCAAAAAGGCCAUGAACUUUGACAGAUUACUUUCUGAAGAACCUGGUCUGAAUUUGGAAUUUGGAAUAAAGCUAGAAAUCAGUGUCACCCUGCCCAGCCUGUCUUGAAAAAUGAUUAAAUGGAACGAUGAGCUGAAAAUCUACUCUGGGGGAAGUGCUGUUGAAUUCAGUGAUCUAUUCCCAGCAUAACAGAUACCGCCGCCUUGUGAGAAGAUUUCCUGUGAACUGAAGAAGAGUGUCAGCCCAAUAGAGCAGUUCCUUUAUCUACAUAUCUAAGCUUGUAUACAGCAACAGUUAUUGCAAAGCUCCCACUGACUUCAAUGGAAGCAGAAUUGACCCUUCAGUAAGGCUUUUAUUUCAUUGCACCCAAACUUCCUCCCCCCUUUUUUAUUUAUGAAUUUCAAUGUGUGUCAUGCUUAC